rnacentral:lncRNA from 1 species
AAAGGAAUCAUCGCAUCGAGUACUACUUCAUCGCCUCCACUUUCCCGAACUGCACUCGCCUCCUCUCCUCGAGUACUACUCGCGCUGCCUCUCCUCCUUCUCCUCCCUCGCAGCGACGCCGACAGGAAGCGGUGGCGGGAGACGUCGCUGGUGGCGGCGGCGGGAGUCGUCCCCAGCAGUGGCUGGCGCGGCGGCGUCGGCGGGAGGCGUCCCUGGCAGCAGUGGCUGGCUGACGAGACAGGCAUGGAUUUGAUUGGGGAAAUCUUGGGAUAUCGGUGGAGCGGACGAAUCGGUGGCGGGAGGAGGAGAUUAGCUGCGGUGGGAGAGGAUUUUUUAGGGUGA